UGCCAGCCGCCGCGGUAACACGGGGGGCGCAAGCGUUAUUCGGAAUUAUUGGGCGUAAAGGGCGCGCAGGCGGUCUUGUCCGUCAGGUGUGAAAGCUCGGGGCUCAACCCCGGAAGUGCACUUGAAACAGCAAGACUUGAAUACGGUAGAGGAGAGAGGAAUUCCUGGUGUAGAGGUGAAAUACGUAGAUAUCUGGAAGAACACCAGAGGCGAAGGCGGUCUCUUGGUCCGAAACUGACGCUGAGGCGCGAAAGCGUGGGGAGCAAACAGGAUUAGAUA
rnacentral:rRNA from 1 species